GGUGGUGUGGCUGAGGAGUUUAAAGCCUUGACUUAAAGCUUCAGUCUCUCUGGAGGCGAGGGUCUGAAUCCCUCCACUGCCA